rnacentral:rRNA from 1 species
AGUGAACGCUGGCGGUAGGCCUAACACAUGCAAGUCGAACGGCAGCACAGUAAGAGCUUGCUCUUACGGGUGGCGAGUGGCGGUCGGGUGAGGUAUACAUCGGAAUCUACUUUUUCGUGGGGGAUAACGUAGGGAAACUUACGCUAAUACCGCAUACGACCUACGGGUGAAAGCAGGGGAUCUUCGGACCUUGCGCGAUUGAAUGAGCCGAUGUCGGAUUAGCUAGUUGGCGGGGUAACGGCCCACCAAGGCGACGAUCCGUAGCUGGUCUGAGAGGAUGAUCAGCCACACUGGAACUGAGACACGGUCCAGACUCCUACGGGAGGCAGCAGUGGGGAAUAUUGGACAAUGGGCGCAAGCCUGAUCCAGCCAUACCGCGUGGGUGAAGAAGGCCUUCGGGUUGUAAAGCCCUUUUGUUGGGAAAGAAAAGCAGCAGGUUAAUACCCCGCUGUUCUGACGGUACCCAAAGAAUAAGCACCGGCUAACUUCGUG